ensembl:snoRNA SNORA72 Small nucleolar RNA SNORA72
CAGAAAUAUUUUUAAUUUCUUUUAAUUAUAAAAAGUAAGUUAAAAGCUACAACAUUUGCUAUAUUAAGACCGAGCAUAUGUCCCCAGACCUAGUUCUCUCCCUAGGUCUGGUUUUACAAAUGCUGGUUAUAAAA